UCCUUCCGGAGGCAGCCGUAGGGAAUUUUUCGCCAAGGGCGCAAAUCUGACCCCGCCACACCGCCGCAGUGAAGAAGGCCUUCGGGUCGUAAAACUCUGUUUUCGGGAAGGACAAGCCCUAGUUAAUAAGCUGGCACCUGANCGUCCAGCCAAGCAGUCUGG
rnacentral:rRNA from 1 species